GCUGGGCUUAGUAGCGUGAGCCUGUAACUCGAGCGAGGACUUUAUGUUGGUUGGAGUUUGCUUUGUUCAGAGGGUUGGGCUCUGCUGUGUUAUGCACAGGCAUGCCCAUUUCACAACCAACUUC
rnacentral:SRP_RNA from 1 species